CUCUUCAUUAAUUUCUAUUUCUCUCUCUCUCUUCGUCUCUUCGUCUCCGUCCUUACCACCAUCAAUUCCUCUCCUCUUGCUCCUUUAAAUCCACCCCUACAUCUCACCAAAUUAAUGAUAGUCUCCUCUAAUGGUUAUUUUCUCUCUGUGGAAAUGCUAGAGCACUGCGACAAAGAAAAUCAAAAGGAAACCAUUAUUUUUGGGAGUAACAAUUUUUACUUAUCCUCAUACGCCAACAAUUUCGGAAUCAAUUUUAAGAUAGACCGCUUAGGUGAUCUUCGCAUGGCACGGUAGAUGAAGAGCUUCACCAAAUUGACCUUUAUUGUUUUGAAGUGAUGAUGAACAACAUUAAUGAUUAGUUUAUGCAUUUUGUAAACUUAGUUAAUGUAAUUAUUUAGUUGGAUAGUAUGAGUAUUAGUUAGUUUGUUUAAUGGAUAUUGUAAUUAUAUAUUAAUUUUAAAUUUGAUUUAUAUUUAAAUUAGAUAAUUGGUUUUUAA